rnacentral:tRNA from 1 species
CCGAUCUUAGCUCAGUUGGUAGAGCGGAGGACUGUAGUGUCUCUCAGACAUCCUUAGGUCGCUGGUGGCAGAUCGGA